GACUGUAAAUAUGAUCUGGCUGCAACAUGUGUCACCCCAUUGAUGGCCAGGGUUGAUUUGGUUGAGCUGGCUGGGUAAAUAGAUGUUCACUUCCUCAGCAUUCCAGUGCAUCCCUCCUUAGGUCCCCCCUGAGAGAGGAGGACCAUUUCCUUGGUCAAGGGCAUAAGAGUAGCUACGUUUCCCUGCUAGAACCUCUACAAGCUCUAAGUUUAAAAAGAGCUUUUUCCUACCCCAUAGCUAGUAUUGGGGAUUGAACCUAGACCUUUUGAAUUCAGCUACAUCAGUUUCUAAAAUUACAAGCUCUGGGCUGUUACUUAAC
rnacentral:snRNA from 1 species